GAUGAACGCUGGCGGCGUGCCUAAUACAUGCAAGUCGAGCGAACAGACGAGGAGCUUGCUCCUCUGACGUUAGCGGCGGGCGGGUGAGUAACACGUGGAUAACCUACCUAUAAGACUGGGAUAACUUCGGGAAACCGGAGCCAAUACCGGAUAAUAUAUUGAACCGCAUGGUUCAAUAGUGAAAGACGGUUUUGCUGUCACUUAUAGAUGGAUCCGCGCCGCAUUAGCUAGUUGGUAAGGUAACGGCUUACCAAGGCAACGAUGCGUAGCCGGCCUGAGAGGGUGAUCGGCCACACUGGAACUGAGACACGGUCCAGACUCCUACGGGAGGCAGCAGUAGGGAAUCUUCCGCAAUGGGCGAAAGCCUGACGGAGCAACGCCGCGUGAGUGAUGAAGGUCUUCGGAUUGUAAAACUCUGUUAUUAGGGAAGAACAGAUGUGUAAGUAGCUAUGCACGUCUUGACGGUACCUAAUCAGAAAGCCACGGCUAACUACGUG
rnacentral:rRNA from 1 species